AAAACAAAAAUCACCAUAAGUAUGCUCAUCAUACCAAAAACUAAAAGACGAUCUUGGUGUGUAACUAGUGAACAAGAGAAAUACAUUCUUCUCUCCACUCUAAGUCACCAAUCUAUCUUAAAAAAUAAUACAGAAUAGAAUCCCAUCCAUAAAUUUUCAGCAUCAAGUCUUUUUAAUAAUCUUUUCUCUCAUAAUUUCCUUCUAAGUCCCUCAACUAGUUUCCAAUGACAAAUUAGUCUUGGA
rnacentral:lncRNA from 1 species